ensembl:lncRNA
UGAAUGAGUAAGUUAGUAGGUACGUGAAUGAGUAAGUUAGUAGGUAAGUGAAUGAGUAAGUUAGUAGGUACGUGAAUGAGUAAGUUAGUAGGUAAGUGAAUGAGUAAGUUAGUAGGUACGUGAAUGAGUAAGUUAGUAGGAAAGUUAAUGAGUAAAUUAGUAAGUGAGUAAAUAAAUGAAUUAAUAAAUAAACAGAUUAAGGGCUCAUGGUGGCUUAGUGGUUAGCACUCGCUAACUUAGUGGUUCACCUCACACCUCCAAGGUUGGGGGUUCGAUUCCCACCAUGGCCCUGUAUGUGCAGAGCUUGCAUGUUCUCCCCAUGCUGUGGGGGUUUCCUCCAGGUACUCCGGUUUCCUCCCCAGUGCAAAGACAUGCAUGGUAGACUGAUUGGCAUGUCUAAAGUGUCCGUAGUGUAUGAAUGGGUGUGUGAAUGUGUAUGCGAAUGUGCCCUGCGAUACAUACUGUACACACGGUGUAUAAAUCUGUAUAUACUCUCUAUACAUACUGUACACACGGUGUAUAAAUCUGUAUAUACUCUCUGUACGUACUGUACACACGUUGUAUAAAUCUGUAUAUACUCUCUGUACAUACUGUACACACGGUG